UAAAAUGUUAUACAAUUUACAGUAUAUUUGAAUUAAGAAAAUAGUGACUCAUCGCUUUCACUUAGCCUAGCCUUGACCAAGUCGUAGUCGUGUUCAAAUUGACCAGGUGAAGUAAGUCCUUCAGACAGGCGUUUUAAUUUACUAUAAUUUAAUGGUGAUGACAAGACAUCUUUUCUUGGAUUUUGAUUGAUGAAAAAAUUUAAUAAUUACC
rnacentral:misc_RNA from 1 species